GCCGGGCAUGGUGGUGCAUACCUGUAAUCCCAGUUACUUGGGAGGCUGAGGCAGGAGAAUCGCUUGAACCUGGGAGGCUGAGGUUGUGGUAAGCCGAGAUUGCGCCACUGUACUUCAGCCUGGGUAACAGAGUGAGACUCUGUCUCAA
rfam:Gorilla gorilla gorilla genomic chromosome, chr2B, whole genome shotgun sequence